AUUGAACGCUGGCGGAAUGCUUUACACAUGCAAGUCGAACGGCAGCACGGACUUCGGUCUGGUGGCGAGUGGCGAACGGGUGAGUAAUAUAUCGGAACGUAUCCAAUAAUGGGGGAUAACGAGUCGAAAGAUUCGCUAAUACCGCAUACGCCCUACGGGGGAAAGCUGGGGACCUUCGGGCCUGGCGUUAAUGGAGCGGCCGAUAUCUGAUUAGCUAGUUGGUGAGGUAAAGGCUCACCAAGGCGACGAUCAGUAGCUGGUCUGAGAGGACGAACAGCCACACUGGAACUGAGACACGGUCCAGACUCCUACGGGAGGCAGAAGUGGGGAAUGUUGGACAAUGGGCGCAAGCCGGAUCCAGCCAUUCCGCGUGAGUGAAGAAGGCCUUCGGGUUGUAAAGCUCUUUCGCAAGGGAAGAAAACUUAGCCACUAACAUUGGUUGAGGUUGACGGUACCUUGAUAAGAAGCACCGGCUAACUACGUGCCAGCCGCCGCCGUAA
rnacentral:rRNA from 1 species